GUGGAAAUCCAUGCUGCUGAAAGUCAAAGACCUGUUGGAGUGUGGAAGCAUCGACACGAUUAAAAGCUGACCAUGGGAGCAUGCAGACAGACCGCGCACAUCGAGAGAGGACCUGAAGCUCCUGCCCAAACUGCUGCAGUGGAAAGGUCUCUCUGGACGGGAGGUUAGGGAGGUGCUGAAGGUCCUGGAGGACCUCCCUGGAUAUCAACCCCCACCCAGACCCAGAUCUGUUUUCUGGUUCCCUUGUCUUACUGACUAGUAAAGGCCGAGCUGCUCUUGGAAGAAGAUCAACUGCAACAAGCAAAGAGGUUUGGGAGUCAUGAGGAUUUCCAGAUGGUCUGAAUCCUGUUGAGCCCACUCUGUUACUGGGUUCACUUCUCAAAUCUGUAGUCAGAGAAGCAGACUGGUUACAUAAGGUUUUUAUAUAUAUAUAUAGCCGUGACACAAAAAGGAUUAAGUGUGUGUACUUCCUGUUUAUGAGUUUGCCUAAAUGUCACUGAUUUCCUUCCAAGCCGUUUCAGGAAACUAGAUGAUAUUUGAAUGCAAAACGAGAAAAUCAACACAUACUGAGUUCCAAUGCUGCAUGAAUUCAUAUAUGAUUUCCAAUGCAGUGACGUGUUCUUUUACUAUUUAUAAAUCUAUUUAUUUUAUAUAUUUAUUAAGUUGUUUACGUGGGAUUGUUGCUUGACAACUCGCCACUGCGCUUCCUCGGGUCCUGAGCAAUGUCUGAGUCCCUGAGCAAUGCUGGACUAUAAAUGUCAUUUGCUAACAGCUAGAUAUUUGGGAUCAGGCUAUUUCCUGGAAACAAAAGCAUUCAUUUUGAAAGUUGCUGAUUCUCGAGAGGUUUGACUUUGCUACAUCAUCCGUUCUUGUAUCAAGCGACGGAGGGCGGGUUGUACCCAGCAUGCCGUUCAACAGUGUCACAGUUGAUAGUGGUACAUAGUGUGUACAUAACCCACUACUACUAGUUGGCUAGGUACCGUGGUUCUCAGGAUCUUCAGGUUUUAAGCUUUUCCUUUUGUUUCAGUUAGAUAAAGGUGGAUUAUGGUUGAUGGAAAAAUCACGUUUCUGAAUGUUUUCACAAUGUUUACAGGGAAAUUUGUUUUUUUCCUCAAAAGCCUUUACCUUUAAGAGCUUCACAUUUUACAACAAGGGAAAAAAAGGUUAAGCUCUGAUGGUCAAAAGAUAAGAACAAAUAAUAACAAAAUAAAAUAAUAAAAGAUAAGAACUAAUAAUUCAAGGAGUUUUUUUGGUCUGCUAUGCAGUUACAAAAUGACUCUUCUUUUGUUUCAAACCUUCAAAUGUUCUGGUGCUUUCAUUUGCUUUAUGUGCUGGAGGCAGGCUACUAAACGUCA